rnacentral:rRNA from 1 species
GAUGAACGCUAGCUACAGGCUUAACACAUGCAAGUCGAGGGACCGGCGCACGGGUGAGUAACACGUAUCCAACCUGCCCUUUACUCGGGGAUAGCCUUUCGCAAGAAAGAUUAAUACCUGAUAUAAAGGUUGGGGAUGCGUUCCAUUCGGUUGUGGGUGAGGUAACGGCUCACCAAGCCUUCGAUGGAUAGGUGUUCUGAGAGGAAGGUCCCCCAGAUUGGAAAUGAGACACGGUCCAAACUCAGACGGGAGGCAGCAGUGAGGAAUAUUGGUCAAUGGGCGCUAGCCUGAACCAGCCAAGUAGCGUGAAGGAUGAAGGCUUAUGGGUCGUAAACUUCUUUUAUAUAAGAAUAGGUAUUAUAUGAAUAAGGAUCGGCUAACUCCGUGCCAGCAGCCGCGGUAAUUC